ensembl:lncRNA
UCUUAAAGCACAGUAGAUGGCUGGGAUUCAACUUGUGGUGCUACCACUGACGUUCUGUUGGCCUUUGACUUGCUGAACCUCCCAGGUACUACUGCAGUGUAGAGGGAAAUAAAUAAGGGGCAUCAUGCAUGCAUCAGGAUUCUUCUAGAUGUGGCUUGUAUCACUCAAAAAUAUUUUUCAAAAGAUGUGCAUUUUUUACCUUUCUCUUGAUCCUUGCAUAUCCAGCCAUCCACUUUCAUUUUCUGAACAUCACUUUAAACCAGACACUGUUUUUGUGGACCUUAAUACGUUUUUACAGUGCACAUGAUAUUCAUCUGCGUAGCACAGAAAUGUUAAUUCAAG